UCUAUAUAUAUAUAAAUAAAUAAGUAUACUAUAAAAAACAAAAAGAAAAGAUUUUCAAUAACAGAAGUGAAAGAGAGGCCAUCACUACUAUUCCCACAGACAGAAAAAGGUUAAUAUAAAGGAACUCUAUGCACAACUCUAUGCCCUCAAACAUGAUAUAUUGUUGAAAUGGACCAGUUCUUUGAAAGACGCAUGUCAUCAAAUUUCACACAAGGGGAAAUAGGCAAAUUUAAUUGCCCUAUAUCUAUUAAAGAAAUCUAUCUCUUAACAAAAUAAGUAUCAUUUAGGAGAUCUGGAGAUCCCAGAAAGGCAUACCGACUACUAAGAGAAAUGAACUGUAUUACAAACAUAUGAAAGAACAUUAAUGGGAGGUGGGUAUCAGGGAUGUGCUGUCUCAAGUAACUUUGGAAAUGAGUAGAAUCUGUAGACUAAAGGUAAAAAGCACUGCACAUAAGCACUAUCUGGUUGCUAGAUAUAUCUUUGAUCUGUCUGCUGAGAGGGCCUAGAAGAAAGGACAUACUCAAAACCAAAACCUCCAAAAAACCUACACUGAAUUGAUUAAACAUAUCAAAAGGAGACAAAGACCAACUGAAAGAGACACCAAAGCCAAAUCUGAAAUAAGUUGAUAUAAAAUAAGAAAAAACUAUUUAUUGAAUUAUAACUCAAAGUAUAACAUAAAUAUCCAUUAAGUUCAGACUCUUAGAUAAAUAAUGGAAUAAAUAAAUGAGGAACAAGAGAUAAACUCUUUGCAGUAGCAUUCCACAUAAUGUAUGUAAACAAUCUGCUUUCACAAACGGGGAGCACUACUCUUUAAGUGUGGGCUACACAGAGUCACUUCCUUCCAAAGAGAACUCUAUAGAAAGGGGAGGGAGCAUAACAUCACACUGGAGACUCCUAGCAAUUAUUACCUCAGAGGACAACGGAAUCACCAACAGUGAUUAGGUCAAACUGAUAAUGUGUGAUUUUGAUAUGAGCAAAUGAUUUGGCACUUUAUCUCUGUUGUCUUUCUCCCUGCACCCCAUAACCCCAAUCUAAUCAUGAGGAAAACAUCAAACUAAUGCCAGUAGAGGAGCAUCCUACACAAUACUUGACCAGUACUCCUAAAAACUGUCAAAGCCACUAAAACAAGGAAAAUCUGACAGUCACAGCCAAGAGGAACCUAACAAGAAAUGACAACUAAAUGUAACAUGGCAUUCUGGAUGAAAUCUUGGAACAGAAGCAAUUAGCCUGUACACGUGGACAUGUACACACACAGAACUGCAAAGUGACUUAAAGAAAAAUCUACAAAUACCGAAAAGAACACACACAUCUGAUCCCAAGCAUCCCAUCCCCCCUGAACUGGAAACACUGAGACCGGCUGUAGGAACAGAUGUAUAGACAGGUAACUUACACUCUGCAGCUGGACAUGAUUCUUCACCACGUUCUCUGACUUUGCCAUUGUGCUGGAUGCUUUGAGACUGUAGUUUUUACCAUUUUGUGGUUCUUUCAGCUGCUCUUGAAUUUGUUUAGCUUGUUUCCUGCAGGUUUAAAUAAAUACAUGCAUAAAUAGUUACACAAAUUUA